GCCUGGGCGACAGAGCGAGACUCCGUCUCAAAAAAAAAAGUACAUUCUAUGUUAACAUAUGCAAUUUCAUAAUUACAGUGAAGAAGAUUAAUAAUUUUUAAGUAUCUUUGCAUACUAUUUACAACUUUUGUAGAAGAGAGGAAUUAUUAUACGUAAUGCUGCAGUGAACAUACAGUCGCUUAUUUUUUUACAUAAGACUUCAGCAUUGGAAUUGUUAGAAGAAGACAGCAUGUUCAAAUUAUUGAGAGGGACGUGGAUGAAGCUGGAGGCAUUAUCCUUGGCAAACUUACACAGGAGCAGAAAACCAAAUACCACAUGUUCUCACCUGUAAGUGGGAGCUAAAUUAUGAGAACAUGUAGACACAUAGAGAGGAACAACACACACUGGGGCCUAUUGGAACGUGGAGGGUGGGAGGAGGGAGAGGAUCAAGAAAAACAUUUAGUGGGUACUAGACUUAAUACCUGGAUGAUGAAAUAAUCUGUACAACAAACCUCCAUGACACCCAUUUACCUGUGUAACAAACCUGCACAUGUAUUCCUGAACUUGAAAUAAAAGUUUUUUUAAGUGUAACUUACCAUUUUAAAAAAUAGUAUUUUUAA
rnacentral:lncRNA from 1 species